AUUGAACGCUGGCGGCGUGCUUAACACAUGCAAGUCGAUCGGUAACAGGUGUAGCAAUACAUGCUGACGAGAGGCGGACGGGUGAGUAAUGCUUGGGAAUCUGCCUAUUAGUGGGGGACAACCCGGGGAAACUCGGGCUAAUACCGCAUACGCUCUACGGAGGAAAGCCGGGGACCGCAAGGCCUGGCGCUAAUAGAUGAGCCCAAGUCGGAUUAGCUAGUUGGUAGGGUAACGCCUACCAAGGCGACAAUCCGUAGCUGGUCUGAGAGGACGACCAGCCACACCGGAACUGAGACACGGUCCGGACUCCGUACGGGAGGCAGCAGUGGGGAAUAUUGGACAAUGGGGGCAACCCUGAUCCAGCGACGCCGCGUGGGUGAAGAA
rnacentral:rRNA from 1 species